rfam:Schleiferia thermophila str. Yellowstone contig00015, whole genome shotgun sequence.
AAGAGCCGUAUGAAUCGAGAGGUUCACGUACGGUUCUGUGAGAGGCUUAGGGGUGAGAUUCCCCUUUGCCUACUCGAU